rnacentral:rRNA from 1 species
UGUAGCGAGAUUGAAGUGAGAAUCUUCAAGGCCGAAUAUCUAAGGUUUCCAGGGUAAAGCUGAUCUGCCCUGGGUAAGUCGGGGCCUAAGGCGAGGUCGGAAGACGUAGCCGAUGGACAACAGGUUGAAAUUCCUGUACUGCGAUAUAUCAGAAAUGUGGGGACACAGAAGGAAAGUGUGAGCCGGGAAAGGAAAGACCGGUGCAAGCACAGGAGGAGGGAUACAGGCAAAUCCGUAUCCCAAUCCAAUGGUGUUACGCGGAGCGAACAAAAGUAGCGAAGCACACAGACCAUCUGUCGAGAAAAGCCGCUAUUGUGUAUACCGUACCCGUACCGUAAACCGACACAGGUGGAUGAGGAGGGAAUCCUAAGGCCGGCGGGAGAAGCAUUGUUAAGGAACUCGGCAAAAUGACCCCGUAACUUCGGGAGAAGGGGUGCUCACGCAAGUGAGCCGCAGAGAACUGGCCCAAGCAACUGUUUAGCAAAAACACAGGUCUAUGCAAAACCGAAAGGUGAGGUAUAUGGGCUGACGCCUGCCCGGUGCUGGAAGGUUAAGAGGAGAUGUUAGAGCAAUCGAAGCAUUGAAUUUAAGCCCCAGUAAACGGCGGCCGUAACUAUAACGGUCCUAAGGUAGCGAAAUUCCUUGUCGGGUAAGUUCCGACCCGCACGAAAGGCGUAAUGAUUUGGGCACUGUCUCGACAAUGCACCCGGUGAAAUUGAAAUACCAGUGAAGAUGCUGGUUACCUGCGCCAGGACGGAAAGACCCCAUGGAGCUUUACUCUAGCUUGAUACUGGGAUUCGGUAUUGCAUGUACAGGAUAGGUGGGAGACGAAGAGGUGAUGACGCCAGUUGUCACGGAGUCGAUGUUGGGAUACCACCCCUGCAGUACUGGGUUUCUAACCUGCGGCCGUGACCCGGCCGGGGGACAAUGUCUGGUGGGGAGUUUGACUGGGGCGGUCGCCUCCGAAAGGGUAUCGGAGGCGCUCAAAGGUUCCCUCAGAAUGGUUGGAAACCAUUCGAAGAGUGCAAAGGCAGAAGGGAGCUUGACUGCGACACCGACGGGUGGAGCAGGUACGAAAGUAGGACUUAGUGAUCCGGUGGUAUGAAAGUGGGAUUGCCAUCGCUCAACGGAUAAAAGCUACCCUGGGAUAACAGGCUUAUCACUCCCAAGAGUUCACAUCGACGGAGUGGUUUGGCACCUCGAUGUCGGCUCAUCGCAUCCUGGGGCUGUAGUAGGUCCCAAGGGUUGGGCUGUACGCCCAUUAAAGCGGUACGCGAGCUGGGUUCAGAACGUCGUGAGACAGUUCGGUCCCUAUCCGGCGUGGGCGCAGGAUAUCUGAGAGGAGCUGUCCUUAGUACGAGAGGACCGGGAUGGACUGACCUCUGGUGCAUCGGUUGAGCCACCAGGCUCAUGGCCGAGUAGCCAAGUCGGGACGGGAUAAACGCUGAAGGCAUCUAAGCGUGAAGCCCCCCUCAAGAUGAGAUAUCCCAUAGAGUUAAUCUAGUAAGACCCCUUGAAGACGACGAGGUAGAUAGGCAGAAGGUGGAAGUGUGGUGACAUAUGGAGCUGAUCUGUACUAAUAGGUCGAGGGCUUAUC